UAUCCCGGUGCUGCCCCUUGUCCCGGUGCUGCCCCUUGUCCCGGUGCUGGUCCUUAUCCCGGUGCUGCCCCUUGUCCCGGUGCUGCCCCUUGUCCCGGUGCUGCCCCUUGUCCCGGUGCUGCCCCUUGUCCCGGUGCUGCCCCUUGUCCCGGUGCUGCCCCUUGUCCCGGUGCUGCCCCUUGUCCCGGUGCUGCCCCUUGUCCCGGUGCUGCCCCUUGUCCCGGUGCUGCCCCUUCUCCCGGUGCUGGCUGCUCAUUUAGGUGGUGUUAGUGGGAGGGUGGUCAUUGGGAGGGGGAUAAAGAAGCGGGGAUUGAUUAUGGUGGGGUGGGGACCUCGCCCUCAGCCUGAGCCACCACCGUGGACAGACGCCCACCCAGACCCUCCCCUAGACUUUGUGCUGGUGCGCCCGGAGUUCGCACCUUAAGGGGGGGGUUCUGUCACGUUCCUGACCUGUUUUCUCUUGUUUUGUAUGUCUUUAUUGGUCAGGGCGUGAGUGUUGGGUGGGUAGUCUAUGUUUUGUAUUUCUAGGUUGGUUUUUGUGUUCGGCCUGGUAUGAUUCUCAAUUAGAGACAGGUGUGUAUCGUUUGUCUCUAAUUGAGAGUCAUACUAAGGCAGCCAAGGUUUCACUGGGGUUUUGUGGGUGUUUGUUCCUGUGUCCUCACAUGGACGGUUGAAGGUUAGUCACGUUUGUUGUUUUGUAGUUUUGUAGUGUCUUGUUUUGCUGUUUUCAUUAAAAGAUGGCUUAUUUCCCUCAAUCCGCAUCUUGGUCCUAUCCAUGCUCCUUCUCGUCUAAGGGGGAGAACAACAAUGACUGCCUUUACACUCAUGGUGAAAUCCCUUAGCGGAUUCCUUCCUCUACGACUGUGGUCACCAAACGGUUGGUCACGAUCGACUGGUAAAUCUCCAAGACAUUUCUAGUCGAUCAUAUCUAGUCGAUGAUUUGUUAAGCACAUUUUUACCCCUGAACAAUUUAGGCUUUCCAUAACAAAGGGGUUGAUUACUUUUUGACUCAAAACUUUAAACUUGUCACUUUUAUUAAUUUGUUUAAAAACAUCUCAAAACUAAAUUCCACUUUGACAUUAUGUGCAGAUCAGUGAGACAACUUAUCAAUCCAUUUUAAAUUCAGGCUGUAACAAGACAAAAUGUGGAAAAAGUAAAGGGGUGUGAAUACUUUCUGAAGUAAAACAGUUUGUAAAGAUCUUAAAACGUGACCAGUGUUCAAUGACUCUAUGUACAUAGGGCAGCAGUCUCUAAGGUGCAGGGCAGAGCACCGGGUGGUAUCCGGCUAGUAACAGUGACUAAAGCUAGUGGUGACUAUUCAUCAGUCUGAUGGCCUGGAGAUAGAAGUUGUUUCUCAGUCUCUCGGUCCCAGCUUUGAUGCACCUUUACUGUCUCCGCCUUCUAGAUGGUAGCGGGGUGAACAUGCUGUGGCUUAGCUGGCUGAGGUCCUUGAUGAUCUUCUUGGCCUUCCUGUGACACCAGGUGCUGUAGAUGUUCUGGAGGGCAGGCAGUGUGCCACCGGGGAUGCAUUUGUCUGACUGCACUACCCUCUGGACAGGCCUGCGGUUGCGGAUGGUGCAAUUGCCGUACCAGGUGGAGAUACAGCCAUACAGGAUGUUCUUAAUGGUGCAUCUAGAAGUUCUUAGGGGCCAAGAGGAAUUUCUUCAGCCUCCUGACGUUGAAGAGGCGUUGUUGCACCUUCUUCACUACACUAUCUGUGUAAAGGGACCAUUUCAGGUUGUUAGUGAUGUGCAUCACGAGGACCAUGAAGCUUUUGACCCUGCGGCCCUGUCGAGGUGAAUGGCGCGAUGCUCUCUCUGCUCUCCUCUGCUCCUUUGUUUUGUUGACGUUGAGGGGGAGAUUAUUUUCCUGGCACCACUCCGACAGGGCCUCCCUGUAGGCUGUCUCAUCAUUGUUGGUAAUCAGGCCUACCUCUGUUGUGUCGUCACAAAACGUGAUGAUUGAGUUGAAGACGUGUAUGGCCACGCAGUCAUGGCUGAACAGGGAGUACAGGAGGAGGCUGAGCACGCACACCUUCCAGUUUGCACAUUGUCUAGUGUAGCUCCUUGAAUGCAGUUGUGGUGUCGGCUUGUGUGGGGGGGGGGGGAAUCUAUGGCAGUGACGAUGUCCGAAGAACAUUUUCUCAGGAGGUAAUGCAGUCGGCAUUUGAUGGUAACGUACUCCAGAUUGGGAGAACAAAAGGGACUUGAGUUCCUUUACGUUACCACAAUCCCCCCAUGAGUUGUUAAUCAUGAAACAAACCCUUCCACCUUUCUUUUUCCCAUAGAGUUCUUUCUUCCAGUCCGCGCGACGGACAUAGAACCCCGCUGGCUGAAUGGACAGGGACAAUGUAUCCGGAGAGAACCAUGAUUCCGUAAAUCAGAGUAUCUUACAAUCCCUGAUUUCUCUCUGGAAGGAGAUCCUCGCUCUGAGCUUGUGUUCUUUAUUGUCUAGGAACUGAACAUUUGUGAGUAAUUGUAUGCAUGCCACCUGAGUCUGUCUAGGGCCCCACUCCUUCUACCUAUUCUCCUGUGUCUGCGUUUUGGUGCAUCCCCCGGGAUGAAUAGAGCUGCCUCGGGAAGAUCAAACAAAGGAUCCAGGCCAAGGAAGUCGAAUUUCUGCUCGAAUUUCUGGAGAUCUACUGUCCAUCCAAUAUCCAAAAGUCAAGAAGAUACGAUGAGCCAGACCAACCAACCACCCCACUGAGGUGGAUCAGAGAUGGCAACCACCUCUUUACCAAGUGGAUGGCCACGACAGUACUACUCUGUGCGACACAAGACUAAGAGAUGGUACAGGACCCUGUUUUCCCAUUUCAUUGACAUUGCUGUGACCAACUGCUACAUCAUAUUCAAGGAGCUUGAGCUUUCCCUGAGGUGCAAUACACAUGAAAGCCAGUAGAUGGAGAUCUAAUCCCACUAAUGAGUGUGGGGUCAAGGGUGACCUCUUCACCUGUGGCAUAACGUGAGGGACAGACACGGCAAUUCUGUCUGAUUGGGCUUUUUGUUCUGUUGAAAAACAGAUGUGGACAGUAGUCCAAAAAAUGUAUAUAGUUUGUUUGAUUAAUAUUUUUGCCCCCUAAAACGUAUAGAGGUACACAAGACCGAUGGGAAAAUCAGAUUCUAUUGGUCAAAACCUACUUCCUCAGUGUGUGCAAUGCUUUAUCUUAUAAAACGAAGCAAUAAGUUUUUUGCUUUUUUGCCUUUAUGACACAUAACCACUCAUACGUGUCUCAAAAGUCUGUUUUGAUAUUCUACUACUUGUAGCUGAGAGUGUGUUGAAUCCAAAACCAUAAAGCAAUUGAUUCUCCUAUACAGGAGGAGCACUGUAGAAGCCAAUGUGUCAAGGUAGUGAAAAAACGGACCAAAAUGCCUUAGACUUUUGGGGGGAAAGCAACCACCAUUGUCAGAUCCAGCAGAUGAGCAUUAGAAAUCCAAUCCAAUGUCUUUAGACCUAUAAAUACGUUGGCUAGAGAAGAGGGGAUUGGAUAGGUGAUCCACCACUGGCCCACUAAUCCCAAUUAACAAUCACAUGAUCACUGAACUUCUCAGUGCUUCUUAUGGCAGGCAGGCAGGCAGGCAGGAAGAGAUAGGCCUUAUUCCUCCUUUCCACUGAAAUGUUUUUAUUGCAAUAUACAGGGUCUCUGUCUGACUGAUAGAGCCCUGCACAGGGAUGAAUUUUAAGCAUGAGUCAUACGCAUGCCUGCGUCGUACAGACCCGACACUACACAGGCUGAUUGCUUCUGACAAAUUGCAGGCCCGGCCCGGCCCGAAACCCGAAAUCAGAAAUAACUUCCUCCAUUAGCAAAUCCAUUAGCUGCUUUUCUCUGUCUGAUACUCGCUCCCUGCACGCAGCUCGCUCCGCAUACACUCUGCUCAUGGCAUCGCUGAGUCUGUGAGUAUCCAUAGCAACGGCUCCACUUGGGCUGCUCUGCUCAAUGAAGAGACGUAAGAGAGCAGUUAGCUGUUAGCUACUUUUCGUCCCUCUAAACUCCGACAAAAUUCAAAGAACAUGAUUAUUUUCCGUGGAAUAAUCUCUGCUGUCGCAUGUUUGAUGAGGUUGAAGCACUCCUGACACCAGAUGUGACUGUACUGUACAGCAGAGCACAAGCAAAUGUCUCAGCUUCACCAUUUUAGCGAUCAAUUUAGUGAUACCCGAGCCCUGCCCAUACUUAGUUAUUGAUGAAAAAAAAGGCCCUACAAGGCCCUAACCAGAUGUAUAAUGUUGGUGCCCGUCGGGUCAGGUCAGGUACCAGACCUCUACUGACUGGAUGUGGUUUCACAUUAAAUGCAGUGUCAACUGUGUCUCUGCUCGAUGACAAAACCUACAGUUAUGACACAUUUCAUAUUUAUUUGCUCUGUACUCUGAUGAAAAAAAUGCUUCAUCAUUUUAUUUUGCUAGCAGCUUAGGUAAACAGAGGUGGAUCCUGCCUCUAAAGCAGAUUUUUGUCAGAAAUUGUUAUAAGGUAAUUUUAACAUAGCAGCUCCCUUGCACCCCUUCCAAAUGCUUGUCAAAAGCUUUCUAUGUGCGUUGGAUGUAAAAAUACAGAUGACAGAUCUUAAUAUGACCCCUUUCGUCGCAGAAGGAAAAUAAUCCUGCAGCAGAAGGAUUUGAAUAUAUAUUGAACUGUAUUGACAAUUGUCUCCCUGACGAAGGCCAUGCAGCCGUAACGCGUCGGUUUUUAAACAACUUUGUUUCUAUUGAACAUGCCAUACUAAUAAAGGCAUUUUAAUUAAUUA